UUUAUGUAGUGUCCUCRCAUGCUUUUGACGGGUAACGGGGAAUUAGGGUUCGACUCCGGAGAGGGAGCCUGAGAAACGGCUACCACAUCCAAGGAAGGCAGCAGGCGCGCAAAUUACCCAAUCCCGACACGGGGAGGUAGUGACAAGAAAUACCGAUACAGGGUCCUUUCGGAUCUUGUGAUUGGAAUGAGUACAAUUUAAACCCAUUAACGAGGAGCAACUAGAGGGCAAGUCUGGUGCCAGCAGCCGCGGUAAUUCCAGCUCUAGUAGCAUACAUUAAAGUUGUUGCAGUUAAAACGCCCGUAGUUGAAAUUUGGGUCUGGUCCUCUGGUCCGCCUCACCGCGAGCACUGGCAGGAUUGGGUCUUUCUUUCUGGAGAACUGCAUGCCCUUCACUGGGUGUGUCAGGGAGCCAGGACUUUUACUUUGAAAAAAUUAGAGUGUUCAAAGCAGGCUUUUGCUCGGAUACCUUAGCAUGGAAUAAUGGAAUAUGACGAGCGGUUGUAUUUCGUUGGUUUUCACGACCGCCGUAAUGAUGAUAGGGAUG
rnacentral:rRNA from 1 species